CAGUAGCCGCGGUAAAACGGAGGGGGCUAGCGUUGUUCGGAAUUACUGGGCGUAAAGCGCACGUAGGCGGCUUGGUAAGUUAGAGGUGAAAGCCCGGAGCUCAACUCCGGAAUUGCCUUUAAGACUGCCGAGCUAGCAGGUGAGAGAGGUAAGUGGAAUUCCGAGUGUAGAGGUGAAAUUCGUAGAUAUUCGGAAGAACACCAGUGGCGAAGGCGGCUUACUGGCUCAUACUGGACGCUGAGGUGCGAAAGCGUGGGGAGCAAACAGGAUUAGAGACCCCCGUAGUCCCUGUCUCUUAUAA
rnacentral:rRNA from 1 species